rnacentral:lncRNA from 13 species
AGGUGAAUUAAUUUGGCGUCAACAAUGUGCGAAAUUUAAUACCAAAUGGACGUAAUACAGUUAUUGUUAUGGAAAAGACCAAACUCGAAUAUAUUAGGCUCAUGUGUCAAAUGAAAAUGACUGGAGCAAUUUGUAAGCAGUCUAUUCUUGGAAGGAUUUUAUGAUAUUAUGCUUAAACGACCAAUUUUCAUAUUUAAUGAACAAGAACUUGAACUAUUGAUCGGUGGCUUGCUUACUGUAAAUAUCUUAAAGGAGGAUUUUAAAGCAAAUAUUGAGUAUCAUAAAUACACUGCUACGUCUGUAUAGAUUUAAUGGUUCUGGUGCAUUGCGAGGUUUUAAUCAAGCGGAUUGUUCGAAGUUCUUACAAUUCAUCACUGGUACAUCUAAAGUGCCGUUACAAAGUUUUGCUGCGUUAGAAGGCAUGAACGGAAGACAAAAGUUCCAAAUUCACAGAGAAGACAAGUUGACAGACAGGCUUUUAUUUGCACAUAUUUGUUUCAACUGGAUUUGCCAAUGUACGACACGUAUGAUAAACUCUGAACAAAUCUACUCAAGGCGACUUACGAAUGCACCAAAGAAUUUGGAUUUGCAUAAGCUUACCAGAAUUUGCUCCUGUACAAUUUCGAUUUCAUGCGUUCAAUCGAUGAUAUUCUAGAGACCAAACUUAUGGUUGGAUCUUUACAGCCAGUGAUAACAUUCCGGACGUGCAAUGGCCUAUUGCUUGCAAAAUUUUUAACGUACUUACAAAAUUGUUAUACGCAAUGCUAUAUGUAAAACUAUCUUGUGAACGUAGCGAAUCACAGUGCUCUAAUUGCUAUAAUAUGUAUUAUUACACUUAUACGACUUUAUAAAUACGAAAUAUAUAUUUUCAUUUUAUCAUACACAUUAACUCUCAUGUAAUUAAUGGACAAUAAUUUAUUCGUUAAUAUAUACGCUAAUAAAUACGCUGAUUU